rnacentral:rRNA from 1 species
UACGGAGGAUGCGAGCGUUAUCCGGAUUUAUUGGGUUUAAAGGGUGCGUAGGCGGGAUGCCAAGUCAGCGGUAAAAAUGCGGUGCUCAACGCCGUCGAGCCGUUGAAACUGGCGUUCUUGAGUGGGCGAGAAGUAUGCGGAAUGCGUGGUGUAGCGGUGAAAUGCAUAGAUAUCACGCAGAACUCCGAUUGCGAAGGCGGCAUACCGGCGCCCUACUGACACUGAGGCUCGAAAGCGUGGGGAGCAAACAGG